rnacentral:ncRNA from 20 species
UAUAGACGCGCCUGUGCUGGUGUCUGGGCUCACGCCUGGACUUAAAAGGGAACCCGGUGUGAUUCCGGGACUGCCCCGCAGCGGUAAGUGAGAACGAAUCUCGCCAUUGGCACUGGCUCCUCGGGGGCUGGGAAGCGGCGAGCCGUAGGAAUCCGGCCCUGGGCCGGAGCGCUCACGAGUCCGAAGACCUGCCCGCAUCCACCCGUGGGGA